AGUCUCUGGAGAAGCUCAUUGAAUUGAGUGCCGAAGGUGCAAGGCGAAGGCCGAAUCUCUCAGGCAAAAGGACAGAGUA
rnacentral:ncRNA from 1 species